CAGAGAAGGCGGCGUGCCUGUCAGGGCCCCUGGGUGGUACAGAUUCUGCUGUGGCUGUCCACUGCCCAGGUGUGGGGCCUGCCCCGCCUGGUGCUGUUAGGGGGAGGGGAAGGCACAGAUAGGAAGAGCCCACGU